CCUCAAAGAUACCCCUUGAGGCAGUUUCUCUAUAUCACCCAUACAUCCAGAUAUAAUUGAAAAAUCUGGAUGCUUUGAUGGUGUAGAGACACUCCUUCAGACAGCAUCUCUGCUGAG
rnacentral:precursor_RNA from 15 species